rnacentral:rRNA from 1 species
GAUGAUGGGUAGGGGAGCUUCGUAUGCAGGCUGAAGCAUGACCGUAAGGACAUGUGGACAGUAUACGAGUGAGAAUGUUGGCAUGAGUAGCGAGACGUGGGUGAGAAUCCCACGGGCCGUAAACCCAAGGUUUCCAGGGGAAGGUUCGUCCGCCCUGGGUUAGUCGGGACCUAAGCCGAGGCCGAAAGGCGUAGGUGAUGGACAACAGGUUGAUAUUCCUGUACCGCCAAUAAGCGUUUGAGAGAUGGAGUGACACAGUAGGAUAAGCUAACCGUACUGUUGGUUAUGUACGGCUAAGCAUUGAGGCAGUCUAAAUAGGCAAAUCCGUUUAGACAAUGCUAGGAUGUGAUGGGGAAGCCCUUCGGGGCGAAGUAGCUGAUUUCACACUGUCAAGAAAAGCUUCUAUCGAGUUUAAAGGCGCCCGUACCGUAAACCGACACAGGUGGGUGAGGAGAGUAUCCUAAGGCCAGCGAGAGAACUACUGUUAAGGAACUCGGCAAAAUGACCCCGUAACUUAGGGAGAAGGGGUGCCUGUCUACGACAGGCCGCAGAGAAUAGGCCCAAGCGACUGUUUACCAAAAACACAGGUUUCUGCUAAGUCGCAAGACGAUGUAUAGGAGCUGACGCCUGCCCGGUGCUGGAAGGUUAAGGGGAUCUGUUAGAGCAAUCGAAGCAGUGAACUUAAGCCCCAGUAAACGGCGGCCAUAACAAUAACGGUCCUAAGGUAGCGAAAUUCCUUGUCGGGUAAGUUCCGACCCGCACGAAAGGCGUAACGAUUUGGGCACUGUCUCAACAAUAGACUCGGUGAAAUUGUAAUCCCGGUGAAGAUGCCGGGUACCUGCGACAGGACGGAAAGACCCCAUGGAGCUUUACUGUAGCUUGACGUUGGGUCUUGGUACUACAUGUACAGGAUAGGUGGGAGACUAUGAAGCAUGGACGCCAGUCUGUGUGGAGUCAUCCUUGGGAUACCACCCUUGUAGUACUGGGAUCCUAACCAUAGGCCUUGAAUCAGGUCUUGGAACACCGUCAGGUGGGCAGUUUGACUGGGGCGGUCGCCUCCUAAAAAGUAACGGAGGCGCUCAAAGGUUUCCUCAGCACGGUCGGAAAUCGUGCGAAGAGUGUAAAGGCAAAAGGAAGCUUGAUUGCAAGACAUACAGGUCGAGCAAGGACGAAAGUCGGACUUAGUGAUCCGGUGGUACCGCAUGGAAGGGCAUCGCUCAACGGAUAAAAGCUACCCUGGGGGUAACAGGCUUAUCUCCCCCAAGAGUCCACAUCGACGGGGAGGUUUGGCACCUCGAUGUCGGCUCAUCACAUCCUGGGGCUGUAGUAGGUCCCAAGGGUUGGGCUGUUCGCCCAUUAAAGUGGUACGCGAGCUGGGUUCAGAACGUCGUGAGACAGUUCGGUCCCUAUCCGUCGCAGGCGUAGGAAAUUUGAGAAGACCUGUCCUUAGUACGAGAGGACCGGGAUGGACGUACCUCUGGUGUACCAGUUGUUCUGCCAAGGGCAUGGCUGGGUAGCUAUGUACGGAAUGGAUAAGCGCUGAAAGCAUCUAAGCGCGAAGCCAACUUCAAGAUAAGAUUUCCCACCGUAAGGGUAAGACCCCAGGAAGACUACCUGGUUGAUAGGUCGAAGGUGUAAGUGCAGUAAUGUAUUUAGCUUAUCGAUACUAAUAGGUCGAGGACUUGACC